rnacentral:rRNA from 1 species
CAGCCGCCGCGGUAAAACGUAGGGUGCAAGCGUUAAUCGGAAUUACUGGGCGUAAAGCGUGCGCAGGCGGUUUGUUAAGACAGAUGUGAAAUCCCCGGGCUCAACCUGGGAACUGCAUUUGUGACUGGCAAGCUAGAGUGUGGCAGAGGGGGGUGGAAUUCCGCGUGUAGCAGUGAAAUGCGUAGAGAUGUGGAGGAACACCGAUGGCGAAGGCAGCCCCCUGGGCCAAUACUGACGCUCAUGCACGAAAGCGUGGGGAGCAAACAGGAUUAGAUACCCCCGUAGUCCCUGUCUCUUAUAU